rnacentral:rRNA from 1 species
GACGUAGGGCGCGAGCGUUGUCCGGAUUUAUUGGGCGUAAAGAGCUCGUAGGCGGCUCGUUGCGUCGGCUGUGAAAACCCGCAGCUCAACUGUGGGCUUGCAGCCGAUACGGGCGGGCUGGGAUUCGGUAGGGGAGACUGGAAUUCCUGGUGUAGCGGUGAAAUGCGCAGAUAUCAGGAGGAACACCGGUGGCGAAGGCGGCCUUCUGGACAGCGACUGACGCUGAGACGCGAAAGCGUGGGGAGCAAACAGG